rfam:TPA: Bos taurus chromosome 16, whole genome shotgun sequence.
UCCCUGGUGGUCCAGUGGUUAGGACUUGGUGCUUUCACUGCUGAGGGCCUGGGUUCGAUCCCUGGUUGGGGAA